ensembl:lncRNA
AACCGAUUGAACUCCUGAAGACAAGACAAAGAAAGAGGAGAGACAUGGAAGAUGCCGAGGAUUAUGAUGCUUCUGACACAGCUGUCCUUCCUCGUAUCCCCAACCCCAUUGUCUGUCUGUCCUCGGGUGACAUGCUCAUUUUCCAUCUCACCAUCAACCACACUGACCGACAUCGGAGCCACUUUCCAGUGUAUCAGAAAGACCACCUGUUUAACAGUAAUCCCAGUUGGGACUUUGGUGCCUUCAGACGACUGCAGAUACUCAUGAAGCAGACCAACUUGAACUCUACAAGGUUUGCCCACGUGUUUUCAGCAGCUGGGAAGUACGCGUUUGUCGACAGCGCCGUCCCAGAGCGGAGUAUGGUGGUGGUGGUCAGUGAUCAGGGGACAGUCUGUGACCCUCGGGCCUCCGUCUUCCAGCCCAUGACCCCGGCACAGCUGGUGAAGCACGGGAUUAUCAAGCAGCACAGACUCAACCUUCUUCCUGACUGGGGAGUGAUAGCAGGUGUUUACCAUCACUGCUCACUGUCAAUGUCCCACUGAAUAGGUGCAUGGCUGUUGUAAGUUUGCUUGCUAAUUCAUCAUGACACAAUGCUCACUGUGUUCAGGGGUCCUUGGUCUGCUGCUGGUUCUCGUUGUGGUUUUGACCACCACCGUGAUAGUUCUGCGACCCGGUAAAGCAAAACUCGUCUCCCAAUGGAGGUAUAAGCCCAAGUGGCGCAGCCUCGGGGAGCCCUUCUGUCCGGUGGAUUGUGUUUGCAGUGAAGACAAGUGAGUUGUUGUGACGGCAGAACGGAUGGUUUGUUUUAUCCUGGUACUGAUACUGUUCAUCUUGAUGAAACAUGCUUCAUGUCACCUUCCUCUCUCAAUGUCUUAUUGUCAUUGUCAAGCUCUCCACUAGAUAUAGACUUUGUAAGAGGACACAAAACCAAAAAAUGUGUGUGGCUUUGUAUUUGGGUUUCAGCAAAGUUGUCCCAAGCGUAGGUGGCUUACUAGGUAGUAGGGGUGAAGGAGAGGGAGCAGAAGCCGAGGAGCCCGCUGUUUCAAAAGGAGGAAAUGUUCCAGGGCGCUGCGAUUUGGAGGAGUUGAAUGUCAAGACUCUGUUUGACAAACUGGAGGAUCAGAACUUACACAUCGCCUCACAACUGGCCCGACACCGCAAAGACACACAGGAGUUUUAUAGAAACAUCUGUCAACAGACUGAAACACUCAAGAAUGUCCUAGACAAUAUGGAUCAUAGAAAACUAAGCUUUCUAAAGGAACUGCUUGUCCAUAAUGCAAUGAAGAAUAAACCAUUCGACUGCAGUGCAAGAGGGAGAGAUUUACAAGUUGAGACCUCUACAGCAUUACUAGGAGAUGUACUCCAGUCAGUAGAAGCUCUUCUCUGCAAGCUGGCGGGAGAAGCUUGGCAGAACCAGGAUUUAGCCGCCCCUCCAUACUGUCACAUUGGUCCUCGUGAUGCCAGGGAAUGUGAACCACGAGCUGGAUACAGACAAUCUGGUGACAACAUGUGUUAUACACAGUUUUCGUCAGCGAAUGUGAUCAAAGCAGAGCCAGUACAUCUACCGAGCACAGAGUCCUGUUUCAGUGACCACAACUUGUCCAGACUGGUCAGUACAUCUCCUCUGUUCAAGACCCUGCACGAGAUCCAACAGUCUUUACACAAACUCACCACAGAGGAGUCUAACCGUCAGCCUCACAUUGCUACAGAACAGUCUGUCCAGGAAAACAAUGAAGGGCAACUUAUCCCGACUGCCCUCGACAACCUCUCCGUGCAACACUCAGCCGUCUUCCUGUUCGGUUGCCAGGUGAUGCAGUUGCUUGCGAACAGCCACCUGUUCCCCCCUGUGCUUCUCCUAAUGGCCAAGUCGAUACCUGUUCCUUUAUCUUCCCCAAAUGAGGGUCUGCUGACACAUUGUUCAAGGGACUUUUAUUUUGAUGCAUCCAAUCAAAUCCUUUAUCUGUCAGAGGAAAAGCUUCAUCACGUUGGACAUUUCAUCGCCCUCAUUCUGCAGUCCAUGGCCUACAUAGUGUCAGGAUCCAAACCUCUGAGUUUCAUGGAAGCCCUUCAUGAGGCAAUAUCAGCUUUAAGCCUUCAGCUGUUCAACGUUUCUUUCAAAUGGAACGCACCAGGGUCAAAUUCCAACGCUUCAGAGGGGCAGCAUAGUGCAUUAGUGGAAGAGUUUCUCAACACUAGAAUUCCCACUGAACCACAGUUUACCGAACACCUUUUAGCUUGCAGGUUGGUAAGAAAUAGAAAAUUGCAGCAGAUAAAUAGUAUGCCAUUCAAACAAAAUCAUGUAAAUAAAUAUUUAUAUUCUACCUGUUCUCUAAUUUAG